UUUUUCAAACUGGCCGGGUAA
rnacentral:piRNA from 1 species